rnacentral:rRNA from 1 species
GGGGAAUUUUGGACAAUGGGGGAAACCCUGAUCCAGCCAUGCCGCGUGCAGGAUGAAGGCCUUCGGGUUGUAAACUGCUUUUGUACAGAACGAAAAGGUCGCUUCUAAUAAAGGCGGCCCAUGACGGUACUGUAAGAAUAAGCACCGGCUAACUACGUGCCAGCAGCCGCGGUAAUACGUAGGGUGCAAGCGUUAAUCGGAAUUACUGGGCGUAAAGCGUGCGCAGGCGGUUAUGUAAGACAGAUGUGAAAUCCCCGGGCUCAACCUGGGAACUGCAUUUGUGACUGCAUGGCUUGAGUGCGGCAGAGGGGGAUGGAAUUCCGCGUGUAGCAGUGAAAUGCGUAGAUAUGCGGAGGAACACCGAUGGCGAAGGCAAUCCCCUGGGCCUGCACUGACGCUCAUGCACGAAAGCGUGGGGAGCAAAC